rnacentral:lncRNA from 10 species
GCCCGCCGGACGCUGGACACAGACGUGACCCCAGACCGCCUGGCCUUGGGUGGAUCGGGUCUCUGGGCAGAGCGUGUGUCCGGCAGAGCUAGGACCGGAAAAAGCCACUCUAGGUCUAGGUUAGGAGUGAUGACAGUUAAAAGAUAUAUAAGGAAAAGAAGGAAAGGAUCGUUUCUGUAUAAAACGAGCUAUUUUUGCAUAUCGAGCGCAUAAGUUUUAUAACUUAGGUGUCUGUUUAUGGAGAGGGUGGGAUACUACCUUUUAGCUCAAGGAGUGCACAAAACGGUAUCAUGAAUUCUGCUCUUUUGAUUCAAACACCCAACUUUGAAGAAUCGCUCAUGGUGCUUGUAAAACACGUAUCCCCAGAUCCCUCCCUAGACCUAUCGAACAACUCCAACGGUCUCGGGAAUGUGCGUGGUUUCUGAAAAGCUUGGGAAGCAAGACCUGACUAGACCCCCAAAUCUGAUAUUGGCUGAAUGGCCGACCAAUGGAGUGCAUAAGAAGUCUGGAUACAAAGGCAGCCCAAUUUCUAGAAAUGUAUACCAGCCAUGAAGAGAUAAAGCUCCAAGAGGAGAUUUCUCUUUCUGGUAUAAGGAUUUAAACAAAACCUAGAAUGUCGCAGUACUCGAAGUAUCCAAAACAACUGAAAAAUGAAGAAGAAUAAAAGAAGAAUCCAAAAGUAUCCAAAAUAACUGAACAUAUGAAGAAUCAUGGCUGGGCACAGUGACUGGCUCAUGUCCGUAAUCCUAGCAUUUUGGGAGGCUGGGGGCGGGGAGGCAGGGACAGGGAUCACUUGAGGUCAGGAUUUCAAGACCAGCCUGGCCAACAUGGUGAAAUCCCAUCUCUACUAAAAACACAAAAAUUAGCUGGGUGUGGUGGCGCAUGCCUGAAAUCCCAUUUGAGGCCGGGCAUGGUGGCUCAGGCCUAUAAUACCAGCACUUUGGGAGGCCAAGGCGGGUGGAUCACUUGAGGUCAGGAGUUGGAGACCAGCAUGGCCAACAUGGCAAAACCCCAUCUCUACUGAAAAUACAAAAAUUCACUGGGCAUGGUGGUGUGUGCCUGUAAUCCCAGCUACUUGGAGGCUGAGGCAAGAGUAUCGCUUGAACUUGGGAGGCAGAGGUUGCAGUGAGACAGGAUCGUGCCACUGCACUCCAACCUGGGUGACAAUGUGAGACUCCGUCUCAAAAAACAAAACCAAACAAACGAACAACUGAAAAAAAAAAAAAGGCAGUAAACUCUGGGGAAGGGGGAGAGUCUGAUUUCCAGGGUUACAACAUUAUUAGAUUCAAAUUUCCAGUUUUCAACAAAAAAAAAUCACAAAGCAUAAAAGAGACAGGGAAGUAUGGUCCAUUCAAAGGAAAAAAAAUUAACCAACAGAAACUGACCCUGAGGAAGACCAGUAAACAAUUAUCUUAGGCCAAGUGCGGGGGCUGACGCCUAUAAUCCCAGCACUUUGGGAGGCUGAGGCAGGCAGAUCACUUGAGGUCAGCAGUUUGAGACCAGCCUGGCUAACAUAGUGUAACGCCAUCUCUAACAAAAAUACAAAAAUUAGAUGGGCAUGGUGGUGCGCACCUGUAGUCUUGGCUACUAGGGGUGCUGAGGCUCAAGAAUCACUUGAACCUAGGAGGCGGAGGUUGCCGUGAGCUGAGAUCGCGCCACUGCACUCCAGCCUAGGUGACAGAGCAAGACCCUGUCUCAAAAACAAAAACAACACACACACACACACAAAAAUUAUCUUAAAGGUACUCAAAGAACAACAACAACAAAAAAAAAACACUGAGAAAAAUGCAAGAAAACUAUGUACGAACAAAAUAGAAAUACCAAUAAAGAGGUAGAAAACCGAAAAAGAUGCCAAAAAGAAAGUGUUCAGAGUUGAAAAGUACAAUAAAGCAAAUGCAAAAUUUACUAGAGGAACACGAAGGCUGAUUUGACCAGGCGGGGGUGGGGGGGCACGGGGAAUCAACAAACCUGAGGAUAGGACAAAUGGAAUUAAUUAUUCAGUCUGAGUCAGAGAAAGAAAAAAAAAAUGAAGAAAAGUGAACAGAGCCCAGGGGACCUAUGGGACACCAUCAAGAAAGCCAACAUGCACACUGUGGAAGUCCUAAAAGAAGACAGAUAAUAGGAGGCAGAGACAUAAUUUGAAGAAAUAAUGACCCAAAACUCCCCAAAUUUGGUGAAAGACAUGAACAUAAACAUCCAAGAAGCUCAUCAAACUCCAAGUAGGAUGAACUUAAAGAGAUCUAUACCAAGACAAAUUAUAAACAUGCUAUUAAAAGACAAAGACAGAUAUAAUCUUGAAAGCAGCAAGAGGCAACUCAUCAAAUAUAAAUAAUCAAUAGUAGCAGCAGAUUUAUCAGAAACUUCAGAAUUCAGAAGGCAAUGGGCUAAUAUAUUCAAAGUGCUAAAUGAAAAAACAAAAACUGUUAACCGAGAAUCCUAUUUUCAGCUAAAACGUCCUUCAGAAGUUGGAGAAAAAUUAAAACAUUCCCAGAUAAACAAAAGCUGAGGAAAUUACUACUAGACCUGACCUGUAAGAUAAAAUAAAGGGAAUUCUGCAGGUUGAAAUGAAAGGAUAGUAACUUGGGCCAAGCCCAGGAGCUCAGGCCUGUAAUCCCAGCACUUUGGGAGGCUGAAGUGGGAGGAUCACUUGAGGUCAGGAGUUCGAGACCAGCCUGGCCAACAUAGUGAAAACACAAGUCUACUUUAAAAACAAACAAACAAACAAAAACAACCACAAAAAUCCACCGGGCAUGGUGGCAUGCCCCUGUAAUCCCAGCUACUCAGAAGGCUGAGACAGGAGAAUCACAUGAACCCCGGAGGCAGAGGUUGCAGUGAGCCAAGAUCGUGCCACUGCACUCCAGCCCGGGCAACAGAGCAAGACUAAUCAUAGACAGAAUGUAGAAUAGUGGUUGCUAGGGUGGUGCUGGGGUGAAUGAGGAGUUACUGUUUAAUGGGUACAGAGUUUCAGUUCUACAAGAUAAAAAGAGUUCCUGGAGAUGGAUAGCAGUAAUGGUUGCAUUCAAUAUGAAGGUACUUAACAUCACUGAACACUUAAAAAUCUUGAAGACACAACCUGGCCAACAUAGUGAAGCCCCAUCUCUACAAAAAAACAAAAAUUAGCUGGGCAUGGUAGUGGAUGCCUAUAGUCCCAGCUACUCGGGAGGCUGAGGCAUGAGAAUCACUUGAACCUGGAAGGCAGAGGUUGCACUGAGCCAAGAUCGUACCAGUGCACUCCACCCUCGGGCAACACAGCGAGACCCUGUCUCAAAAAAAAAAAAAAGUUAUUUUACCACAAUAAAAUUUUUUUUUAAAAAAUGAACAAAACUGUGAAAUGAACAGGAUCUGUG